rnacentral:rRNA from 1 species
UUUCAAAUUGAGAGUUUGAUCCUGGCUCAGGACGAACGCUGGCGGCGUGCCUAAUACAUGCAAGUCGAGCG